UAGGCGUGCAGCGUGCGCUGGCAGAGGGCCGAGCGGACGCAAUCCUCUUUGGUGAAACGGAUGAUGCCUAUCAUCUCAUCCUCUUCAAACCGCUCCAGCGCGUCACUCAGCCCCGAUUUCACACCCCGGGGCAGGUCACACUGGGUGACGUCGCCGUUGACGAUCACGGUGACGUUCUCCCCCAGGCGCGU
rnacentral:antisense_RNA from 1 species